rnacentral:rRNA from 1 species
CUUGACACUGAACAUUGAGCCUUGAUGUGUAGGAUAGGUGGGAGGCUUUGAAGUGUGGACGCCAGUCUGCAUGGAGCCGGCCUUGAAAUACCACCCUUUAAUGUUUGAUGUUCUAACGUUGACCCGUUAUCCGGGUUGCGGACAGUGUCUGGUGGGUAGUUUGACUGGGGCGGUCUCCUCCUAAAGAGUAACGGAGGAGCACGAAGGUUGGCUAAUCCUGGUCGGACAUCAGGAGGUUAGUGCAAUGGCAUAAGC